GGGAAUUUCGCAUUUCUCGCUUUCUUAGACUUGAGGAUUCGCUUUUUUAGCUCUUCUUUCCCCAGUUGAUUAGACUUUCUGUAGUAGUGUUCCCAUUAAUUGUGGAUGAAGUUAAGGAUUCUAUGAGUCGCUCGUGGAUUUUAGUUGUUUGAUCCACUGAGCUUCUAGGAGUUUGAGUUUUGCCAAUUAGGGUUUUCUGCACAGGGGUUUUUGUCGUUCAGGGCGUUCCGCUCGUGGUAGACGGGUUUUCACUGAAACAUAAUUAC
rnacentral:misc_RNA from 1 species